UCUGGAGCGGACGCCACAGCCGCGCAAGCGGCACAGAGCGCCACCCGCCGGAGCGGAAGCUUGAAACGGAAGACGAGCCGGACACAUACACCGUACCGCACUCACAAUUGUCACACCAUAUACCGCCGGAGAGGACGCAGCGAGCCCUCUCACCGAAGCAGAAGCGGCGAAAGCCGCCGGCACCGACGGUAAUCGCCAGUCUCUUAGCUCAGUUGGUUAGAGCGCUACACUGAUAAUGUAGAGGUCGGCAGUUCAACUCUGCCAGGGACUACCAAGGAAAAGCGAACAUUGACAUGUUGGAAGCGAGUAAAGAUUCUGAAAAGAAAAUUUACACGAGCAAAUCAAAAAUAACAACGAGCGCCCGUCGCCGCAAGGCGAUGAGGCAAUAGGCCAAGCAAAAGCAUGUUUGCAGCCACAGGCUGCGUCAUGAAAGGCAAAACUCCAAAAAAUAUAAAGAAAGGAGACAAGGGCACAUGAAGGAUGCCUUGGCUCUCGGAGGCGAAGAAGGACGUGACAAGCUGCGAUAAGCCGUGCCCAGGGGCAAAUACCCGCCUAAGCACGGAUUUC
rnacentral:misc_RNA from 1 species